GACGAACGCUGGCGGCGUGCCUAAUACAUGCAAGUAGGACGCAGUUGCGAACGGGUGAGUAACGCGUAGGUAACUACCUAUUAGAGGGGGAUAACUAUUGGAAACGAUAGCUAAUACCGCAUACUAGUAGAUGGACCUGAGUUGAAUUAGCUAGUAGGUAGGGUAAUGGCCUACCAAGGCAACGAUACAUAGCCGACCUGGUGGGGGGAUUGGCCACCCUGGGACUGGAGCCCGGCCCCGAAUCCUACGGGAGGCAGCAGGAGGGAAUCUUCGGAAAUGGGGCGAACCCUGACCGAGCACCGCCGCGUGAGUGAAGAAGGUUUUCGGAUCGUAAAGCUCUGUUGUUAAGGAAGCGGUACUUAACCAGAAAGGGACGGCUAACUACGUGCCAGCCGCCGCGGUAAUUC
rnacentral:rRNA from 1 species